rnacentral:lncRNA from 1 species
AAAAUUAUUUUAAAGCCAUUAGGCCUUAAUACGUGGGGCAGCCAAGCCCAUCAGACUAAGGGUGCCUUAGCCUUAGAAGGGGCUUUUCUAAAAUCAGAUCUUUCAUUAAGCCAUUUUCCCUUCUCUCUCUAAAACCAGGUUCUUCAAAUCCUCUGUCUUCUCUCUAGCUUUACUCUCCAUUGAACCGUUCAAAUCUUACUUGGGUGCUGCCAAACCGUUCCUGGCGUCAAGGGCUUCACUUCGAACCGAUUACUUUCUCUGUCUCCUUCUGGUAAGUUGUUUCCCUGUUUCCUCUGCCAUUUUCGAAACCUAGGAUUUGGGGUUUUACUGAUUUAAAGCACCCUUUUCUGAUUUCUAUUGUGUUCUAGCCCUAAGAGUUGUUCUCCAUCACCAAUUUGGUGAUUUGUAGGUUCUGUAAGUGCAUCGUUGUGUGGGUCAUUGUUAGGGUGUUUUCUGUA